UACGGAGGAUGCAAGCGUUAUCCGGAAUGAUUGGGCGUAAAGGGUCCGCAGGUGGCAAUGUGUGUCUGCUGUCAAAGAAUGAGGCUUAACCUCAUCAAGGCAGUGGAAACUACAUAGCUAGAGUACGGUCGGGGUAGAAGGAAUUCCUGGUGUAGCGGUGAAAUGCGCAGAUAUCAGGAAGAACACCAAUGGCGAAGGCAGCUCUCUGGGACGGUACUGACGCUGAGACGCGAAAGCGUGGGGAGCGAACAGG
rnacentral:rRNA from 1 species